rnacentral:rRNA from 1 species
GUGCCAGCAGCGCGGUAAUACAGAGGGUGCAAGCGUUAAUCGGAAUUACUGGGCGUAAAGCGCGUAGGUGGUUUGUUAAGUUGGAUGUGAAAGCCCCGGGCUCAACCUGGGAACUGCAUUCCAAACUGGCAACUAGAGUACGGUAGAGGGUGGUGGAAUUUCCUGUGAGCGGUGAAAUGCGUAGAUAUAGGAAGGAACACCAGUGGCNAANNCGACCACCUGGACUGAUACUGACACUGAGGUGCGAAA